rnacentral:rRNA from 1 species
AGAGCGAACGCUGGCGGCAGGCUUAACACAUGCAAGUCGAGCGGGCGUAGCAAUACGUCAGCGGCAGACGGGUGAGUAACGCGUGGGAACGUACCUUUUGGUUCGGAACAACCCAGGGAAACUUGGGCUAAUACCGGAUAAGCCCUUACGGGGAAAGAUUUAUCGCCGAAAGAUCGGCCCGCGUCUGAUUAGCUAGUUGGUGAGGUAAUGGCUCACCAAGGCGACGAUCAGUAGCUGGUCUGAGAGGAUGAUCAGCCACAUUGGGACUGAGACACGGCCCAAACUCCUACGGGAGGCAGCAGUGGGGAAUAUUGGACAAUGGGCGCAAGCCUGAUCCAGCCAUGCCGCGUGAGUGAUGAAGGCCCUAGGGUUGUAAAGCUUCUUUUGUGCGGGAAGAUAAUGACGGUACCGCAAGAAUAAGCCCCGGCUAACUUCGCGCCAGCAGCCGC